GGCGGGGCCGUGGGCAGCAGGGGCUGUCCGUGGGGAGCAGCCCGGGACGGGAGUUACGGGGCGCCCGUCGGUGACCGGGGGAGCUCAAGCGGGAUGUGCUGUUCCCGGCAGGAGAACGGCCCCGACUCUGCGCUCCCCACGGCCGUGCAGGCACCUGGGGGAUUCCCCGUGGGUGUGAUCUCUCCAGGCUCCCCACAGCAGCGUGCCUCACACGCAGCACGCCGGUGGAGGAGCGGAGGGGCAUAGCCAUCUCCUGGGAAGAGGCUGCGGGAUGUGCGAAAUUCACCCUGAUGCUGAACGAAGGGCCAUGAAAGUCCUGUUGGGUUCAAUGGGACUGCAUGCACUACAGGCACUGGAGAGCGUGUGUAAAUAUUUGUGGGAUUAGGGAUACACAGGCCAGUCAUCUUUUAUUUUUCUAGUUCUGGAUGUUGUCAGGAAUAAGGGAUCAUUCCCAGGCUCUUUUUUCCAUGAAAUACAUGGUUUAUGAUAAAUGCUUAUGAUCCAGGUUUGAGUGUUAACAUCAGUGCUGAUGAGGCAGGGCAGGUGCAAUGUGCCCCAGUUCGUUCUGGGGAUGAACAAAGUAGUGGAGGCACCAGAGAGUCCCUCCUGAUGCAGCGAGAAGAUGCACACAAUUUUGCCUUUGCAGUUAGAGGUACCAGAGCCUGCUGAAUGUAGGGAUACCCAAAGAAAUUAUUAUACUACAUGGCCUUCUCAGAGGGUCUAUAGCUCCUUUAGGGACCACAGUAUACCAGAAAGGUCAUGGCUCAGGAUCACAGCAUCAAUUUAACACCAGGUCAAAAAGCAUCGGAAACCUAUCAAGUGUGAUCUCAUAUCAGCAAGGAAUGGAUUAUUAAAUCCACCAAAAAUAGUCAUUCUAGAGCAAAAAUGAAAGAACAGAUUCAGAAAUCUGAAUUCCUUCAGCUGGUCUGAUUACUUGAGUUGGCAUUAACUUGAGCAUGUUUCACUGACUUGGAGGCAGUAUCUUUAGUUUGGGACUGAUGAAAAUAUUGGAAUACCAGCUGCAGUAGCCAUUUGCUGCUUUAAAGCAGGGCUCAGAUAUCAAAGAGACUAGACUCAGCUUUUAGUUUACACUCUAGCAGUUGACUGGACUAUCAGGAGUAAAAUGCUUAAAUCUGAACACAGUCAUCAGGUAAUUACAGAGUCCCUGUAAGUGCUGUGUUGGAUUAGGACUGCAGUGUUUAUGAGACACACUCAUGCUUACUUGGUGGUGUGAGGCUCCUAAGUUAACUUCCAAUUUUUAUUUUAAAGAAUCAAUAAAAUUCUGUUUUCAAUACUGAAAGCCAUCAAAACUCUGAUCCAAGGCCCAUGAGUAUGUUUCCAAAAAGAAACCUUUCCAUCACUUUUCAUUGACUGGAUGACAGCAGUAAAUGAAGCCCCAUUUCUCCAUAGGAGGGUACCUCUGUUUGAAAACAAAAUGCAGAAAGAGUGCUUUAAAAAAAGGUAGGGAAAUAAGAACACCACCUUAAACCUGUGUUAUCAGGUGAUGUGCAAGGAGCAGGACUGUGCAGGAAUUUAGAAAAUUCCUCAAAAGCAGUAAAAGAUAACACUUUUCUAAUUUUUUAAUACAGUAAUCUUAAUGAACUGAAGGGUAGCAACCAAAGCUGCAGAACCUGAUGAGUGAAUUUCUGCAUCUGAGGAAAAUAUUUUCCUUAUUAAUUGAAAGGAAAAUUAUUAGCAUUUUGUAUUCAUAUAGAGCUUAUGAGUGAUUCAGUAGGACUGAAGUCUACCUUCGUUCUUGUGACUUGAAAAUAUUUAUUAAUUUGUGAACACAGUGGGACACUUCAUAUUUCUAGGCUAAGCUUCUAUAUUGUCUUUUAAUUGUGUAAGUUUUAUUCCACAUUGGAUUUCUUAUACAUAUGUUAGGAAUAUGUAAGAAAGUAUAUGUAAAAAUAUGUUAAUUUAAAUGGCUGAUGAGCUUCUGCUAACACUGCUAUAAAAAUCUAGUGUUAAUAAUUGAAUGCAGGGAACUCAUGAACUGUUUCACAUGUCAAAUCUUUCCUUUAAAUCCAAAUAUUUUAUGUUUUAGUUUCUGAAGUGAUCAUUCUUUCGUUCACACCGAUCCAUGUCUAUCCACCAAAGGAGGGUGUAGGUGUUAGAGACCAUCACCACCCUUAGCAAUCCUGGGAUUAACAAAGGGGAAGACAGAUUGUUGAUGGAUCAUGGAGAUGGGGUAAUUGAUCAAACACAUUUAACAAAUAUCAGUGGAUAAUUGAUAUUAUGGAGCAUAUACAUUAUUGUAUAUGUUCAGCUGAAUACAUACAUAUUUAGGGUGCAGUACACUAUGUGAUACAGGUUUGUAUUAUGCUAGGAAACAUAAUAGUGUGUUGCCCAGUCACAGGCCUUCACAAACUUUAGCUUUUUAUACAGUCUUUCAUAUUUUUCAAGUUUCAUUUAAAUCUGUGGUGAAAUUUGCCAAACACAGUUACUUUGCCUUUCCUCAGAAAACCACUGAUCUUCUCAGAAAAAGUUUCAUAUUCUUUUUCAUAUUCUUUUAUUUUUAGGAAACUUUAGACCAUGUUCUAGGGAAACUAAUUCCACAGAAAUGCUUUAUUUUAGGGACUUCUUUGUUACCCUAGUUCAGGACAUAAAUUAUGAGGCCUGUUUUUUCAUCCAACAAUAGCAAUAUAACAGCAGCUUACUAACACAACGGGCUGCCUGUCACAAAGUGAUCCCAUGUUGCAGCCAGAUUCAGACUCAGAGAAGGACUAAAGGAUCUAAACAAAUCAUCCUUCUUUAGAAAUAUUUACAUAUUGCCUUAAUAUGACUUGUUUAUAUGGAACUAUUACAAUUUAUUCAUCAAAUGCUGAAAUAAUGUACCCAAGUGAGUGCUUUGCAGUUGCUAUGGCACGGUGUGACUUUAAGCACUUACCAACCACAUGUGCGUUGUUUAUUUUUUUUCUUGCUACAGUCUCCUCUUGAAUAUCAAGGAAGUUUGUUUAUAAUGGGUCUCACUCACUUUUACUCUGCAAAAUGUGUUGAAAUUCAGCAGUAAUCCAAAAGAGAAAUAUGUCAGUGUUUAAUCUUCCUGUGUACACUUUAGAAUAAAUUGUGCAGGCUGUGCUAAAGUGAUUUAAACCCAAGGUAAUAGGCUCAGUUCUUGUUCACUUUGAUUCCACUUCACAACAGACCAUUACCCUCGCAUGGCUCAUUCCCAGAGCCCAUCCUACAAAAUUUGUGCUAUUUGGAAAGUUUUGGAGAUCUGGAAGCCUUGGUCCUUGCACAUGGAGGCCUGAACUCACAUACGAUACAAAGGGCAGCAAUUGAAUUUAAAAAUGUCUCAAAAAAAUAAUUGCAUGCAUCAUUGAGGAGAACUGCAUGUGACACGGGAACCAUAUGUGGAAGAUCAUUUGUCUGAAGUAAGUACCAUUUGGGUUCCGUACAAAAUGUGCAUUUGAAAAGUAAGAGUUGAGUAUUAUAACAUAUUUUAAUGAUAAAUCUUUUUCUGCACAACAAUUUCAUAUUGUUGUUAAUGACCAUUUUGGAGCUGUGCCUAGAGUGAAGACAUUAUCCUUGGAUCUGGGUAAUGAGUUUGUAAAUGAUCCUGAACAAAUGGUGAAGCUAUUUGCUAAAAAUUUUGUUAAAUCUGCAGAUGAGCCUAUUCUUAAUCUGGGUAAUUAGCAUCAUAAUUUGAAAGUAUUUAGUUAUCUAGACUUGUCCCUGGCAAGUGAGGUUGGUUUUUGUUUUUCCUUUCCUAUUGUUUGAUUACCUGUGAGGCUGAGGGGGAUUCUGAAAGCAGCAAAACACCUGGCUGUCUUUUCAGUAUGCCAGAAUUACUCAGAGGUACAGACUUGUUUUAACCAUGGUUUGGAUGUUGAUCAUGCAAAGGUUCAUGUGCCAGUUCUCUUGUCUUUCAAUUGCUGUGACCUUUUUGUCUUGGAAAGAAAAAAUGGAAGAUAGCUCUAGAGUAGGCUGGACAGUCACAUUGCACUAAAUUUAAAUAAAAGCAAAAUGCUGGAAUGCAAGUAAAAGUACAGCUAUUACGAUCAUCUGUGGAUGAGAUUGAGGCAACACUGUUUCAUAUUUUUUGUGAUUGUGUAAAACACAUCAUUGUGAUUUUUUUUUCAUAUUUUGAAUGGAGAGAGAUUGUUUACAGUUCAGGAAGUUUGUGAAAUUAUAUUCUGGCAAUUUACAGACCAAUUUCCUUACACAAUUUUUUGUCAAAAUUUUCUAAAACAGUUGUAUCUGCUGAGUAUCCAAACCAAUGAAAUAUUUGACAUUUGCACUCCAGAAUUUGCGUAAUGAAAAGUAAUUCCAUUACCGCUAGAGUACUAAAAUGUUGGAGACACUAAAACCAAGACCAAAUAAUUAAUGCCAAUUUUAUUAAGAUCCUUGCAGAAACAGAUUUUUAUAUAUUACUUAUGACAUUUUGGUUGCUUAUAGUAUGUGUCUCUUUCAACACACAGAAAAAGAAUUCUGAUUGCCCCAGGAAUAGAUUCUUAUUGCCUGAGGUCUAAUCAGGUCAGCUCUUUCUUCAGCUAGAGUAUAUAAAAAUGAUACUGGCCAGAGUUUGAUUUAUGUUGAUAGAAAGCAGCAAAGAUCUUUCCAUGUUUUGAGACUGUCCGAGUGCCAAUGACAUUCAGGUUAUGACUAUCUUUAGUGGGAGCAAGCCAGCAGGAACCUGGAAUUGGGCUGUGUCAGCCCAGAGAAACAUCAGUCUGCUGUCAUUACAUGCCACACAUCUGGGCUUGACUGGGUGUGUUCUGCAUGCUCCAGUCUCACUGUGCCUUUUCUCCCAGAGGUAAAGUGGUGCACAGAGCUGUCUCUGUAAGGGCACCUGGCACUAGAGGGAGUGGAAGCUGGUGUAAACUACUUACAGACACCAACACAGUGUGGUUUGGCUGUGUCCCCUCCCCAGAUUUGCUGGUUAUGUCAAUAGAGACUCACAUGGUAAGUCCAAAAGCAUGAUACAGUCAUACAAUCAUAGAAUGGCCUGGGUUGGAAGGAACUUCCAAGACCAUCUAGUUCCAUCCCUCUGCUGUGGACAAGGACAUCUUCUACUGGACCACGUUGCUCAGAGCUCUAUCCAACAUGGCCUUAAACACUUCCAGGGAUGGGACAUCCGCCAUUUCUCUGGGAAAUCUGUUGCAAUGGCUCACCACCCUCACAGUAAGGAAUUAUUUCCUAAUAUCUAAACUAAACCUAUUGUCUUUCAGUUUGAACCCAUUCCUCCUUAUCCUGUCACUGUGUGCUCCUGUAAAAAGUCCCUCUUCAUCUUUCCCUCAAGGAUCUCUUCAGGUAGGUUGCAGAGCAUGAGAUAUUCACUGGAAAUAUUAAUGAAGGCUAUGAAGAGAUGCUGUGGCUUUUUCAUUUUGUCAGGACUGCACAAAGAGUUGUGGUCAAAAAACGUUACUGAUGUGGUGAAAUCAAGCACUCACAAGAUGGGAAAUGCCAGGAAAAAGAUUUCCCAUGGGACUUCAGCUUAUCUGCCUAUGUUUGGAAUUAUUGACAAGACAUAUAUUCCUACUGACAAAAGGCAUCAAUAGGAAUACUAGUUUAUAAUGGUGUAUUAAUUUUUUUCUCUGGUAAUUCCAUUUAUCUGGUAGAGAGGAGGGGCUGAACUCAUUUAGGGAGUACCCAUUCAAUAUUUUAUAUUUUCUUCAUUGUUCUUAUAGGCUCCAUUCACUGCAACAUUUAUGCUCUUCUCUGAAGAUAAAAUUAUUGAUUUCCUCUAUGUCUGUCAUCAGGGUAGCAUUUAAUAAAUCUUAUUUAAACAUUGCAAG